AUUGAACGCUGGCGGCAGGCUUAACACAUGCAAGUCGAACGAGUGGCGGACGGGUGAGUAAUGCUUGGGAAUCUAGCUAAUGGGGGGGAUAACCAAGGGGAACCUGUACUAAAACCCGCUAACCUAAGGUGGGGCCAAGGGGGGAUUAGGUAGUUGGUGAGGUAAAGGCUGACCAAGCCGACGAUCUCUAGCUGGUCUGAGAGGAUGACCAGCCACACUGGGACUGAGACACGGCCCAGACUCCUACGGGAGGCAGCAGUGGGGAAUAUUGCGCAAUGGGGGCAACCUGACGCAGCCAUGCCGCGUGAAUGAAGAAGGCCUUCGGGUUGUAAAGUUCUUUCGGUAGCGAGGCGUUAACUACAGAAGAAGCACCGGCUAACUCCGUGCCAGCAACCGCGGUAAUAC
rnacentral:rRNA from 1 species